rnacentral:lncRNA from 1 species
UGGCCGUCAUACCUCUGAGGCACUGCUACAUAACCGAAGAGCUUACAGAACGCAGAUGAAAACCACUGGUCUAGAGCCAAUGUAGAGGUCAGGUGACUCCUCUCCUCACGCAUCAGGCAGUAGCUACACGUUCUGCCAGCAAAACUCAUUCAACCAGACUAUCUAACAUUCUAGACAAAUUCGGCUACCCGCUCAAAUUGCCAGAAUAGCUCCUGAGUGGUCCUCAAGCAUUUAGGAACUUUCUUUUACAAUCCUGUACAUCAUUGCAAGGAUCAUUGUGGUAAGAACCCAUAAAGUUACUGGAGAAGGGUGUGUCUCUCAUAUCUGAGUACUUCACAGAAAUAUGCAUAUUUAAGACUCAAGCAAAUAUGUGUCCACAUCUCCAUUUUAUAAUUUUCAGAGUCCCUCAUAUUUUUCCAUUAAAACACAGAUCACAGUAAGUAUAUGUAAUUUCAUAAUUUUAUUUAUUAAUAUAUCUCCACAAUA